ensembl:lncRNA
AGGACACUCUGCUUUUACACAUCAUCAAAGCAGACAGUCUGCCCUCUGUCCUUCCUGCCUGUGCCUUACAACCAGGGUAAAUGAGCACACCCAUGGGAGCCAGUCUGGGACAAGGACAUGCAAGAGCGGACACUGCCUUCCCCUCUCACCAUGGGUUCCUGCCAUGAGAAUGCAGAAGGAUGCUGCUGUGACACUAACUCCAGAGAGCCAAGAGUCAUCGAGCAGAAAGAACCAGGGCCCAGCUCUCAUCAGAGUUGCGCACCGUAACUCCCGCUGUCUCCCUGGGUGAAUGAUGUCAUGGAGUGAGAAGUGUCACAAAGGCCUUGGCUGCAGUGACUCCUCACUUGCACCAGUCAGUUUUUUUUUCUUUUUUUCAGAGCUGGGGACCGAACUCAGGGCCUUGCGCUUGCUAGGCAAGUGCUCUACCACUGAGCUAAAUCCCCAACCCCACACCAGUCAGUUUUAAACGUUUUCUUUUGGGUUUAAUUUGGGAUGUCAGUGGUAAUAACAGCCAACUGUGCCUGCUUUAUCAUCUAGCAAACUGAGACCAUCGCUUGUCUUUCUGCUAACACCCUGAGGAUGCCAUUGUGUGUCUAAGACAGGUGGAACAGUGUGCUAGAGGUCACCCAGAUGGUUCUCCAUGCCUGGCAAGCCCUAGUUCCCAGGCUUGUGGACACCCAAGGUCUGGAUCUCUACUAGCUCUGCCACCAGGUGCUGGGCUGCUUGAUCACAGGCGGCAGAUACGACACAGAGAGAGCAAGCACACGAACUGGAAGUGAGACCGGCUGUAAACUUUCAUCCUCGGUGAUAUGGCUUCCUCCAGCACGGCUGCACCUCCUAAGCUUGCCCAAGUAGGGCCAGGACCUCGGAUGAAGCAUUCAAAUGCCUGAGUCUAUGGGGUGGGGCUUGUUUUUCAUUCAAACCAGUACAUUCCCUCUGUAGUUCCAACUAUUGGGUGUUCUAGAAAAAGCAAAAGAUGACGGAGCCGGUUAAAGGAUCAGCACUUGUCAGGGAGCUGGAGGAGGGAUGCAGGGCAGUGAAACUUCCUGUCUCACCUGUGGCUUGGGGACCCAUGUCCUAUGGCCUCAGAACCCAUGUACAGCACAAAGAGCAGACUGUGCUGCAAACUGUGGACUUCGGUCAGUUAGAUCCUGUUGGGAGUAAAGUGCCAC